GCACCCUGUGCUGCUUCCUUGUUCAUGCCCAUUUUUGACUUGUGAAAUACCAGAAAUGUCUCAGAGUAUGCUUUGUGCAACCUCACAUGUGCCACCUUGACUACAGAGUAUUAUUUACUAAUGUGUGAACUGCUGGGAAUUCAAAGUUAAUUUCAAAUUUGCAACAUCACUUGGUCCUGUGCAUUCUGAGACUAGGGGAGAGAAGAGGGAAGGGGAGAGGGGAAAGGAAAAGAGGUACAACUCACCGUCCUAUACAGUAACUCAGGAAUGGAACUCCUUGUAAAGCAGCGUAUAAAAUCCAGGCCCUGAUAAAAAAAAAAAAAAUCUUGGUUUCUCCCUUCUCGGCAAAGUGAAUAGAUCUAACACUGCUUGGUAUAUAAGUUAUUUAAUGCCUAAAAUGACCAAAUAUUAUGUAUUUACCAUAAAGAAACAAUCUAAGCAACAAAACCACUAUGGGAUGUUGUAGUGAUUACACUACUUAAAGUUCCCUAAAGCUGAUAUAAAGCUACGGUCUUUCUGUAGCGGAGGGAUCUUCCCCAAUUUGGCCACAGUAAGGGAACAUUAUAGGGUCAGGAGUACAACAUGUAUUCCUGACCCUAAAAUGUAAAUAUACUAUUUACCCCCUUAGAUAGGUCUAAAACUAACCUUUAUUCCAGCGCCAGAAUGCCUCCUUGGCUGAGAUCAUCAGAAUUGAUUAUCUCAGUCAAUGCUUUCCCAUAGGAAGGCAUUGGGAGGCUACAGCGAAUGAGUGGCAAAACGCUCCGCUGCGUCUGCUGGGACUAAGGACACCAGAAUAUACAUUUAGCUGUCCCUAAUUAGGUGUAAUUACCAUUUAUGCAUUAUCAUUGUCGAUUUCAAUCAACCUAAAUGACACUAAUUGAAAGCCCUGAUUUAUAACAAAUCCUUACUUUAUAUCAAAUCCCUGGUUUACAUCUAAACAUUCAUAAAUAGUUUGAUACUAAAACAGAGCACGAACACUCACCAGGAAAGUGUCUGUUCUGUCUAUUCAACUGAGCAGACUGCAGAGCAGGUGGCAGAGAAACUGCUGGAUCAGUCUAUGCUGAUUGCACAGCUCCCUUGCUGCGUUGUACUAAUGCUGGGACCCAGAAUGUACCAUCACUCCGGCGCUGCCGUCAGUAGAGAGCAGCAGGAAACUACGUAUUCAUAGAUCCCAACAUGAAAUGUGUGUGUGAGUUGAUAAUUGUGUGCACGGAUAUCAACAUGUGUAUAUGAGUAUGUGUGUGUGUCAAAUGGAAUUUGAAUAUGUACAGUGCAGUCUUAAAGUAUUGAGACAUGCAAUUUUUUUUUUCUUUCUUUUUUUAUUUUUUUUAUUUUUU